CAGUGAGCAUGCGCAGAACGGAAGCAAAUCACGGGCAAGGGGUGUUUGUGCCACACAGAAAAGAGGCAAAGGAAAGGUCUGCACCCCAACUUCUGCAGGAGCUGAGGUGCUAGCAUGCUGCUUCAGGCUCACGGACAGCCAGACGCUGGUGAUCACCUAUGCAGCUUCGUGGUCUUUUCUUCUCUAGCACACUCCUGUUCUACCCGGAGGACCGAAUGAGAGACCCACACUGAUAUCCCGGCUCUGCAAACCUGACUCUGCAGCGAUGUUCCGAUAUUAAACAGAGCCACAUGCUGCCUCGAGACUGUCGUAUGGUUAGAGUGGAACCCAGCAUCCCUCGCAUGGUCCACAGGCCACUAUUUAAGGAGAGAAUGUUUUAGUUCCUGACUUAAACCAGAGAGCUCAACUCCAUAGGAAAAGACACUGAGUCGGUUGACAGAAGACUUGAGCUCUAAUUCCAUCAUCUCUACAGCUUGGACCCGGCACCCUGCUGCUAGCAGGGUCAUUUUGAGGAAUCCAUCCCGUCCUCUCCUCUGCUGCUGGCUGCACCGCCUCGCUGAUGUGGUGGGGAGCGUGGACUCAGUGGUGUGCACAAGGGAAGAUGUGACACCCAGGCUAUCACUGAGUAACUUUCACUGAAGAGAAGCUGAGAACAAGGAGAAAAGACCCUGCUGGUUGGUAAGCAGGUUCAGGGAGGAGCUGAGAGGAAGCAUAAGCCCGGAUCUGUGUGGGAAGCAGCCCUCACCGGCAGCCAGGCCGUAGGAGCCCUGUGACUCAUGAGCCUUUCCCAGCAGCAGCACAGAAAGAAGCCAGCAUCUCAGAUGCUUUAAGUGUUGAUUUGUUUAAAACAAAACCAUGAAAUUUACCAUGAACUCCUGAAGAUGAUCUCAAAAAUUCGUUAUAAACUGCUUCAAACUAGAAGAGAAUGCCGUGCCUGAUGCACUGUACAUCUAACCGUGUUAGAGCUGACAGCAUCAAAGACACAAAAUCAUCUCGUGGAGAUGCUGUUUACACUGAACUGCCUUGAUAAAAAAGGAUUGCUGAUUUUUGAGAGUAGUCAUGGACAUCAUUGACAACAGAUAAUAAAUUUAAAAGCUUUAAUUUUGCAGUUGGCUUUAAAAGGCAAGGUUAUGUCUUAGAUGUGGUAAUGGCCAAGUGAAUUCCUCACUGUCUGGUUGGGACUGGUGGGUGUGCUGACCUCAGCCCUUCCCCAGACUUUCUGUAAGGACUGGGGCUUCAGCUCUGCUCUCUGGGCCUCCUGUGCUCCCAGAGGAACCUGGCCUCCUUAGGUUCACUGCUAACCUCCAAUGCCUCACUUCCUAAAAUCACAUAAAAUGCCAUGGAGCAGUGCAACUGAGGGGCACCAGAGACUGGUCCACCAGUUUCCUUUUGAUUCCUGCUGAAAUUCAGACUUUUGCAGAACAUGGUGGCUGAGUUUCUUAAAGGUACACAGACUGUUGAGCAACAAAUCACAUAGAGGUGAUAUGGAGAGAGACAGACAGACAGACACACAGACUAAAUAAAGUUGAAUUUCAGGUGCAUACUAAGAAGAAAAGGACCUUACCCCCAA
ensembl:lincRNA